UACGUAGGCAGCAAGCGUUGUUCGGAAUUACUGGGCGUAAAGAGUGUGUAGGCGGUGCUCUAAGUUCGGUGUGAAAUCUCCCGGCUCAACUGGGAGGGUGCGCCGGAAACUGGGGUGCUGGAGCGCGGGAGGAGGAAAGCGGAAUUCCUGGUGUAGCGGUGAAAUGCGUAGAUAUCAGGAGGAACACCGGCGGUGUGAGACGGCUUCUGGACCGUAGCUG
rnacentral:rRNA from 1 species